rnacentral:rRNA from 1 species
UACGGAGGGGGCUAGCGUUGUUCGGAAUUACUGGGCGUAAAGCGCACGUAGGCGGCUUUGUAAGUUAGAGGUGAAAGCCCAGGGCUCAACCCUGGAAUUGCCUUUAAGACUGCAUCGCUAGAAUUGUGGAGAGGUAAGUGGAAUUCCGAGUGUAGAGGUGAAAUUCGUAGAUAUUCGGAAGAACACCAGUGGCGAAGGCGACUUACUGGACACAUAUUGACGCUGAGGGACGAAAGCUAGGGGAGCGAAUGGG